rnacentral:rRNA from 1 species
GACGUAGGGUGCAAGCGUUGUCCGGAUUUAUUGGGCGUAAAGAGCUCGUAGGCGGCUUGUUGCGUCGACUGUGAAAACCCGCGGCUUAACCGCGGGCUUGCAGUUGAUACGGGCAGGCUAGAGUUCGGUAGGGGAGACUGGAAUUCCUGGUGUAGCGGUGAAAUGCGCAGAUAUCAGGAGGAACACCGGUGGCGAAGGCGGGUCUCUGGGACGGUACUGACGCUGAGACGCGAAAGCGUGGGGAGCGAACAGG